rnacentral:rRNA from 1 species
AUUGAACGCUGGCGGCAGGCUUAACACAUGCAAGUCGAGCGGGGUGAUGGUGCUUGCACUAUCACUUAGCGGCGGACGGGAGAGUAAUGCUUAGGAAUCUGCCUAUUAGUGGGGGACAACAUCUCGAAAGGGAUGCUAAUACCGCAUACGUCCUACGGGAGAAAGCAGGGGAUCACUUGUGACCUUGCGCUAAUAGAUGAGCCUAAGUCGGAUUAGCUAGUUGGUGGGGUAAAGGCCUACCAAGGCGACGAUCUGUAGCGGGUCUGAGAGGAUGAUCCGCCACACUGGGACUGAGACACGGCCCAGACUCCUACGGGAGGCAGCAGUGGGGAAUAUUGGACAAUGGGGGGAACCCUGAUCCAGCCAUGCCGCGUGUGUGAAGAAGGCCUUAUGGUUGUAAAGCACUUUAAGCGAGGAGGGGGCUCUUUGGUUAAUACCCAAGAUGAGUGGACGUUACUCGCAGAAUAAGCACCGGCUAACUCUGUGCCAGCCGCCGCGGUAA